CAUCCAGAGAUGGAUGGUUCCUUUCGGGGACGCAGUGACAGGUGCUGCAUGGCUGUCGUCAGCUCGUGUCGUGAGAUGUUCGGUUAAGUCCGGCAACGAGCGCAACCCACGUCUUUAGUUGCCAGCAGUUCGGCUGGGCACUCUAAAGAAACUGCCCGUGAUAAGCGGGAGGAAGGUGUGGAUGACGUCAAGUCCUCAUGGCCCUUACGGGUUGGGCUACACACGUGCUACAAUGGUGUCUACAGUGGGUUAAUCUCCAAAAGACAUCUCAGUUCGGAUUGGGUCUGCAACUCGACCCCAUGAAGUCGGAAUCGCUAGUAAUCGCGUAACAGCAUGACGCGGUGAAUACGUUCCCGGGCCUUGUACACACCGCCCGUCACACCAUGGGAGUUGGGUUCACCCGAAGGCCGUGCGCCAACCUUUACAGGGGGCAGCGGACCACGGUGAGCUCAGCGACUGGGGUGAAGUCGUAACAAGGUAGCCGUAGGGGAACCUGCGGCUGGAUCACCUCCUU
rnacentral:rRNA from 1 species